GGUAUGGGCCGAGGGUUGAUGUUAUUAGCUGAGGGUUGACAGCUUGGGCUGAGGGUUGAAGGUAUAGGCUGAUGGUUGAAGGUAUGGGCUGGGGUUGAAGGUAUGGGCUGAGGGUUGAAGGUAUUGGCUGGGGUUGAAGAUAUGGGCCGAGGGUUGAAGGUAUGGGCUGAGGGUUGAAGGUAUGGGCUGAGGGUUGAUGUUAUUAGCUGAUGGUUGAAGGAAUAGGCUGAUGGUUGAAGGAAUAGGCUGAUGGUUGAAGGAAUGGGCUGAGGGUUGAAGGUAUAGGCAUAGGGUUGAAGGUAUGGGCUGAGGGUUGAAGGUAUGGGCUGAGGGUUGAAGGUAUAGGCUGAGGGUUGAAGGUAUGGGCUGAGGGUUGAAGGUAUAGGCUGAGGGUUGAAGGUAUAGGCUGAGGGUUGAAGGUAUAGGCAUAGGGUUGAAGGUAUGGGCUGAGGGUUGAAGGUAUGGGCUGAGGGUUGAAGGUAUGGGCUGAGGGUUGAAGGUAUAGGCUGAGGGUUGAAGGUAUGGGCUGAGGGUUGAAGGUAUGGGCUGAGGGUUGAAGGUAUAGGCUGAGGGUUGAAGGUAUAGGCUGAGGGUUGAAGGUAUAGGCUGAGGGUUGAAGGUAUAGGCAUAGAGUUGAAGGUAUGGGCAGAGGGUUGAAGGUAUAGGCUGAGGGUUGAAGGAAUGGGCUG